AAACUCAAGAAGAUAUAGAAAAAACUAAAGAAUACAUGGUCCACAAGGAAAAGCCCAAGCAGAGAUAGUUAUAGAUCCACAAGUGGCAAGCAUCGCCACGGGGCAAGGAGUGGUAAGAACAUGAUACAACCCUCAUUCAUACACAAAAAGGAAGAAACUCAGGAAGAUUAUAAACAUAAAGGAAGCAAAGCAGCUCCGACUAAUUUAUUGAGUAAAUUGCUAAUGCCAGACUAGACAAGCAUCAACAAAUAAAACCAUCCAAGCAUUUUAAAUUAGUUUCCAGUCAUCCGAACCCACUUAACACACUUGACGAUCCCAAAUAUGCCUGCUCAAAGAAGAUUCAUAUACAAAGAACCACCAAGUCUAAUGAGUAAAACAUGACCAUAUUAAUGAAUAUACAAAGCCGGUAACCGAGCCUAUUAGCUGUGACACAGAAAAUUUCCUGAAGCUCAGUCGGAUGCAUUACCACGAUGUGAUAAAAUCAGAAGACAUCAAUGAGCACCAACCAGGAAUGGGUGC
rnacentral:lncRNA from 1 species